rnacentral:tRNA from 1 species
GUAGAUGUAUCUCAAUGAUAGAGUAUUUGCCUAGCAUGCAGAAGGCCUUGGAUUCAAUUUCCAGCACUGCA